rnacentral:rRNA from 1 species
AGCAGCCGCGGUAAUUCCAGCUCCAAUAGCGUAUAUUAAAGUUGUUGCAGUUAAAAAGCUCGUAGUUGAAUUUCGGGAUCAAGUCGUCGGUCGUGCUCAAGUACGUACUGGCGUCAUUGAUUUCUCCCUUCUGACGAACCAUGAUGUCAUUAAUUUGGUGUUAUGGGAAAUCAGGACUGUUACUUUGAAAAAUUAGAGUGUUUAAAGCAGGCUCACGCUUGAAUACAUUAGCAUGGAAUAAUGAAAUAGGACGUUCGAUCCUAUUUUGUUGGUUUUAGGAUCAACGUAAUGAUUAAUAGGGAUAGUUGGGGGCAUUAGUAUUCAAUUGUCAGAGGUGAAAUUCUUGGAUUUAUUGAAGACUAACUACUGCGAAAGCAUUUGCCAAGGAUGUUUUCAUUAAUCAAGAACGAAAGUUAGGGGAUCGAAGACGAUCAGAUACCGUCGUAGUCUUAACCAUAAACUAUAGCCGACUAGGGAUCGGAUGAUGUUAAUUUUUAAUGA